rnacentral:rRNA from 1 species
GACGAACGCUGGCGGCGUGCUUAACACAUGCAAGUCGAACGGAAAGGCCCUGCUUUUGUGGGGUGCUCGAGUGGCGAACGGGUGAGUAACACGUGAGUAACCUGCCCUUGACUUUGGGAUAACUUCAUGAAACUUGGGCUAAUACCGGAAAGGAGCUCCUGCUGCAUGGUGGGGGUUGGAAAGUUUAGGCGGUUGGGGGUGGACACGCCGACUAUCAGGUUGUUGGUUGGGUGGUGGAUUACCAAGACUUUGAAGGGUAGACGGCCUGUGAGGGUGACCGGCCAGACUGGGUGGGAGUGACGGACCACACUCCCACGGGAGGGAGGAGUGGGGAAGAUUGCAUAAUGGGUGGAAGAAUGCCGCAUCAACGCCUGGCGCGUGAUGAAGGAAUUCGGGUUGUUAACAGCUCUCUCCUGCGACGGAGCAUGAGUGAAGGUAAGGGGUAAAGAAGCACCGGCUAACUACGU